rnacentral:rRNA from 1 species
GGGGCUGUAGCCGGUCCCAAGGGUAUGGCUGUUCGCCAUUUAAAGUGGUACGUGAGCUGGGUUUAAAACGUCGUGAGACAGUUUGGUCCCUAUCUGCAGUGGGCGUUGGAAGUUUGAGGGGGGCUGCUCCUAGUACGAGAGGACCGGAGUGGACGAACCUCUGGUGUACCGGUUAUCACGCCAGUGGUAUCGCCGGGUAGCUAUGUUCGGGAGAGAUAACCGCUGAAAGCAUCUAAGCGGGAAACUUGCCUCAAGAUGAGACUUCCCAGGGACUUGAUCCCUCUAAAGGUUCGUUGAAGACCACAACGUUGAUAGGUCGGGUGUGGAAGCGCAGUAAUGCGUUAAGCUAACCGAUACUAAUUGACCGUGAGGCUUGAUCCUAUAACCUUA